CUACGGGCGGCUGCAGUGGGGAAUAUUGCACAAUGGAGGAAACUCUGAUGCAGCAACGCCGCGUGGAGGAUGACACUUUUCGGAGCGUAAACUCCUUUUAUAUAGGAAGAAGAUGACGGUACUAUAUGAAUAAGCGCCGGCUAACUCCGUGCCAGCAGCCGCGGUAAUACGGAGGGCGCAAGCGUUACUCGGAAUCACUGGGCGUAAAGAGCGUGUAGGCGGAUUAAAAAGUCAGAAGUGAGAUCCUAUAGCUUAACUAUAGAACUGCUUCUGAAACUCUUAAUCUAGAAUGUGGGAGAGGUAGAUGGAAUUUCUGGUGUAGGGGUAGAAUCCGUAGAGAUCAGAAGGAAUACCGAUUGCGAAGGCGAUCUACUAGAACAUUAUUGACGCUGAGACGCGAAAGCGUGGGGAGCAAACAGGAUUAGAUACCCCUGUAGUC
rnacentral:rRNA from 1 species